AGAGUUUGAUCAUGGCUCAGGAUCAACGCUGGCGGCGUGCAUGAGACAUGCAAGUCGAACGGACGCUUACGGGCUUGCCUGUAAGCGUUAGUGGCGGACGGCUGAGUAACGCGUAGGUGACCUGCCCCGAAGUGGGGAAUAACUACCCGAAAGGGUGGCUAAUACCGCAUGUGGUGGUGCGUUCGAUCGCACCAGUAAAGCCGCAAGGCGCUUCGGGAGGGGCCUGCGUCCGAUUAGCUCGUUGGUGGGGUAACGGCUUACCAAGGCGACGAUCGGUAGGUGGUCUGAGAGGACGAUCACCCAGACUGGGACUGAGACACGGCCCAGACUCCUACGGGAGGCAGCAGUCGGGAAUUUUGCGCAAUGGACGAAAGUCUGACGCAGCAACGCCGCGUGAGGGAUGACGGCCUUCGGGUUGUAAACCUCUUUUGUCAGGGACGAUGAUGACGGUACCUGACGAAUAAGCCACGGCUAACUACGUGCCAGCAGCCGCGGUAAUAC
rnacentral:rRNA from 1 species